rnacentral:rRNA from 1 species
GAUGAACGCUGGCGGCGUGCCUAAUACAUGCAAGUCGAGCGAACAGACGAGGAGCUUGCUCCUCUGACGUUAGCGGCGGACGGGUGAGUAACACGUGGAUAACCUACCUAUAAGACUGGGAUAACUUCGGGAAACCGGAGCUAAUACCGGAUAAUAUAUUGAACCGCAUGGUUCAAUAGUGAAAGACGGUUUUGCUGUCACUUAUAGAUGGAUCCGCGCCGCUUUAGCUAGUUGGUAAGGUAACGGCUUACCAAGGCAACGAUGCGUAGCCGACCUGAGAGGGGGAUCGGCCACACUGGAACUGAGAAAGGGUCCAGACUCCUACGGGAGGAAGCAGUAGGGAAUCUUCCGCAAUGGGCGAAAGCCUGACGGAGCAAGGCCGCGUGAGUGAUGAAGGUCUUCGGAUCGUAAACCUCUGUUAUUAGGGAAGAACAAAUGUGUAAGUAACUAUGCACGUAUUGACGGUACCUAAUCAGAAAGCCACGGCUAACUACGUG